UAGGGAAUAUUGCGCAAUGGGGGAAACCCUGACGCAGCGACGCCGCGUGGGUGAUGAAGGCUUUCGGGUCGUAAAGCCCUGUCGAGUGGGACGAAAGACGAUAUGGCUAAUAUCCAUGUCGAGUGACGGUACCACUAAAGGAAGCACCGGCUAACUACGUGCCAGCAGCCGCGGUAAUACGUAGGGUGCAAGCGUUGCUCGGAAUCAUUGGGCGUAAAGAGCGUGUAGGUGGCUAGAUAAGUCAGAUGUGAAAUCCCUCGGCUCAACCGAGGAAGUGCAUUUGAAACUAUCUAGCUCGAGGAUGGCAGAGGAAGGUGGAAUUCCUAGUGUAGAGGUGAAAUUCGUAGAUAUUGGGAAGAACACCAGUGGCGAAGGCGGCUAACUGGUCCGGUACUGACGCUGAGGUGCGAAAGCGUGGGGAGCAAACAGGAUUAGAUACCCCCGUAGUCCCUGAGCGGGCUGGCAAGGCGCAU
rnacentral:rRNA from 1 species